GCGAAGGAUCAUUAAAAAUGAAGCCGGGAAACCGGUCCUUCUAACCCUUGAUUAUCUUAAUUUGUUGCUUUGGUGGGCCGCGCAAGCACCGGCUUCGGCUGGAUCGUGCCCGCCAGAGGACCACAACUCUGUAUCAAAUGUCGUCUGAGUACUAUUAAAUAGUUAAAACUUUCAACAACGGAUCUCUUGGUUCUGGCAUCGAUGAAGAACGCAGCGGAAUGCGAUAAGUAAUGUGAAUUGCAGAAUUCAGUGAAUCAUCGAAUCUUUGAACGCACAUUGCGCCCUCUGGUAUUCCGGAGGGCAUGCCUGUUCGAGCGUCAUAAUGACCAAAUCACUUCUAUUAGUGGACUUGGAGUUGGCCUGUACUGGCCUCUCUUAAAAGCAGUGGCGGUGCUCUUAAGCUCUACGCGUAGUAAUCUUUCUCGCUAUAGGGUCUUACUAGUAUUUGCCAACAACCCCAACUUAUAUAGGUUGACCUCGGAUCAGGUAGGGAUACCCGCUGAACUUAAGCAUAUCAAUAAGCGGAGGAAAAGAAACCAACAGGGAUUACCUCAGUAACGGCGAGUGAAGCGGUAACAGCUCAAAUUUGAAAUCUGGCUCUUUCAGGUCCGAGUUGUAAUUUGUAGAAGAUGCUUUGGGCAUUGCUCCGGUCUAAGUUCCUUGGAACAGGACGUCAUAGAGGUGAGAAUCCCGUAUGUGACUGGUGGCAUUUGUCCGUGUAAAGCUCUUUCGACGAGUCGAGUNUUUGGGAAUGCAGCUCAAAAUGGGUGGUAUAUUUCAU
rnacentral:rRNA from 1 species